GACGAACCGUCCGAACGUUAUUCGGAAUUACUGGGCUUAAAGCGCGUGUAGGCGGGACGGCACGUCUGUCGCUGAAAUCCCUCGGCUUAACCGAGGAACGGGUGCAGAUACGACCGUCCUGGAGGGGGGUAGGGGGACCUGGAACUUCCGGUGGAGCGGUGAAAUGCGUUGAGAUCGGAAGGAACGCCCGUGGCGAAAGCGAGGUCCUGGACCCUUUCUGACGCUGAGACGCGAAAGCCAGGGGAGCAAACGGC
rnacentral:rRNA from 1 species